UAGAGUUUGAUCCUGGCUCAGGACGAACGCUGGCGGCGUGCCUAAUACAUGCAAGUAGAACGCUGAAGAGAGGAGCUUGCUCUUCUUGGAUGAGUUGCGAACGGGUGAGUAACGCGUAGGUAACCUGCCUUGUAGCGGGGGAUAACUAUUGGAAACGAUAGCUAAUACCGCAUAACAAUGGAUGACACAUGUCAUUUAUUUGAAAGGGGCAAUUGCUCCACUACAAGAUGGACCUGCGUUGUAUUAGCUAGUAGGUGAGGUAAUGGCUCACCUAGGCGACGAUACAUAGCCGACCUGAGAGGGUGAUCGGCCACACUGGGACUGAGACACGGCCCAGACUCCUACGGGAGGCAGCAGUAGGGAAUCUUCGGCAAUGGGGGCAACCCUGACCGAGCAACGCCGCGUGAGUGAAGAAGGUUUUCGGAUCGUAAAGCUCUGUUGUAAGUCAAGAACGGGUGUGAGAGUGGAAAGUUCACACUGUGACGGUAGCUUACCAGAAAGGGACGGCUAACUACGUGCCAGCAGCCGCGGUAAUACGUAGGUCCCGAGCGUUGUCCGGAUUUAUUGGGCGUAAAGCGAGCGCAGGCGGUUUGAUAAGUCUGAAGUUAAAGGCUGUGGCUCAACCAUAGUUCGCUUUGGAAACUGUCAAACUUGAGUGCAGAAGGGGAGAGUGGAAUUCCAUGUGUAGCGGUGAAAUGCGUAGAUAUAUGGAGGAACCACCCGGUGGCGAAAGCGGCUCUCUGGUCUGUAACUGACGUAGGUCAAAGCGC
rnacentral:rRNA from 1 species